AGAUGAAUGCACUGACUAAGUCGCUCUGGAUAAGAGCAUCUGCUAAAUGGCUAAAA
rfam:Salmo salar isolate Sally breed double haploid chromosome ssa01, whole genome shotgun sequence.